rnacentral:piRNA from 1 species
GAUGUGGAUUCUUUCUGUCUCGGAGAAAU